rnacentral:rRNA from 1 species
UACAGAGGUCUCAAGCGUUGUUCGGAUUCAUUGGGCGUAAAGGGUGCGUAGGCGGCGCGGUAAGUCGGGUGUGAAAUCUUGGAGCUUAACUCCGAAACUGCAUUCGUUACUGCCGUGCUUGAGGACUGGAGAGGAGACUGGAAUUCAUGGUGUAGCAGUGAAAUGCGUAGAGAUCAUGAGGAAGACCAGUGGCGAAGGCGGGUCUCUGGACAGUUCCUGACACUGAGACACGAAGGCCAGGGGAGCAAACGGG